GCCCCAGUGGCCUAAUGGAUAACGCACUGGCCUCCUAAGCCCAGGGAUUGUGGGUUCGAGUCCCAUCUGGGGUG
rnacentral:tRNA from 1 species